rnacentral:misc_RNA from 1 species
GGAAGGAUCAUUAUCGUACAACCGAGGUGUGAGGGCUGUCGCUGACCGCGUUCAAAGGUCGUGCACGCCCGAGCGUCCUUGCCCACAUCCACUUUACCCUUGUGCAUCACCGACGUGGUGUCCCCUUGGGAAUCGUUCCAAAGGGGCCCACGUCUUUCACACACAAACACCCUUCUUGAUGUGGUUUUGAAUGACUUUUUUAUUAUCAAUACAACUUUCAACAACGGAUCUCUUGGCUCUCGCAUCGAUGAAGAACGCAGCGAAAUGCGAUACGUAAUGUGAAUUGCAGAAUUCAGUGAAUCAUCGAAUCUUUGAACGCACCUUGCGCCCCUUGGCAUUCCGAGGGGCACACCCGUUUGAGUGUCGUGACUAUCCUCAAACCUUCUUGGUCUCUUGAUCGAGAAUGGUUUGGACUUUGGAGGCAUCUUGCUGGCUUUUUUUUUUUUGAGGCCAGCUCCUCUCAAAUGAAUUAGUGGGGUCUCCUUUGCUGGUCCCUUGAUGUGAUAAGAUAUUUCUACAUCUUGAGAUCAGCUCUGCUGCUCGGGAACCCGCUUCCAACUGUCUCAUCAGAGACAUCGUUCGAGUUUGCCACCUCUCAUGGGUGCGAAGCUCGACGCACGAAGCUUGACCUCAAAUCGGGUGAGACUACCCGCUGAACUUAAGCAUAUCAAUAAGCGGAGGAAAAGAAACUAACGAGGAUUCCCCUAGUAACUGCGAGUGAAGCGGGAAAAGCUCAAAUUUAAAAUCUGGUGGUCCUUGGCCAUCCGAGUUGUAAUUUAGAGAAGCGUCUUCCGCGCUGGACCGUGCACAAGUCUCCUGGAAUGGAGCGUCAUAGAGGGUGAGAAUCCCGUCUUUGGCACGGAACCCCAGGGCUUUUGUGAUGCGCUCUCGAAGAGUCGAGUUGUUUGGGAAUGCAGCUCAAAAUGGGUGGUGAACUCCAUCUAAAGCUAAAUAUUGGCGAGAGACCGAUAGCGAACAAGUACCGUGAGGGAAAGAUGAAAAGCACUUUGGAAAGAGAGUGAAACAGUACGUGAAAUUGUUGAAAGGGAAACGCUUGAAGUCAGUCGCGUCUGCCGAGACUCAGCCUUGCCUUGGCUUGGUGGACUUCUCGGUUGACGGGUCAGCAUCACUUUUGCCCCUCGGAUAAUGGCAAGGGAAAGGUGGCACCCUUCAUGGGUGUGUUAUAGUCUCCUGUCGGAUGCGGGGGUCAGGAUUGAGGAACUCAGCACGCACCUUCUUGGUGUCGGGGCCCUCGGGCUCACGCUACGUGCUUGGGAUGCUGGCGUAAUGGCUUUAAACGACCCGUCUUGAAACACGGACCAAGGAGUCUAACAUGUGCGCGAGUGUUCGGGUGGAAAACCCGUGCGCGUAAUGAAAGUAAAAGUUGGGACCCCUGUCGCGGGGGGCACCGACGCCCGGACCAGACCUUCUGUGACGGAUCUGCGGUAGAGCGUGCAUGUUGGGACCCGAAAGAUGGUGAACUAUGCCUGAGUAGGGUGAAGCCAGAGGAAACUCUGGUGGAGGCUCGUAGCGAUUCUGACGUGCAAAUCGAUCGUCAAAUUUGGGUAUAGGGGCGAAAGACUAAUCGAACCAUCUAGUAGCUGGUUCCUGC